rnacentral:lncRNA from 1 species
GAUUUUCUUGUUGCAUCAUGAGAAUACAUAGGCACAAAGCUUCGAAAUCUUGGCAAGCACAUUAAUUAAAACAUAUUUUUCCUUUAAUUAAAACCAAUCCCAAGUAUCCUUUAGAUAAUAACACCCAUCUACACAAAGUACAAUCAAAAUGAUUCCCUUUGAGUACAACGGAUGUGAGGGGGUGCUCAUACUUACCCCUUGC